UCUUUUGAGGAUUUGAUCCUGGUCCAGGAUGAACGCUGGCAGCGUGGAUAAGACAUGCAAGUCGAGCGGUCUGCUUAAGUUUUGCUUGCAAAAUUUUGGCGGAUAGCGGCAAACGGGUCAGUAACACGUGGGUAACGAACCCCAAAGACAGGGACAACCUAGGGAAACUUAGGCUAAUCCCUGAUAGUCUCACUGGUUUUAAAAAACUGGUGAGUAAAAAGUUGGAGAAUUUUCUCUUUCUGCUUUGGGAUCGGCCCGCGGCUUAUCAGCUAGUAGGUAGGGUAAUGGCCUACCUAGGCUAUGACGGGUAGGCGGAGUGAGAGCUUGUUCGCCGACACUGGCACUGAGACACGGGCCAGACUCCUACGGGAGGCAGCAGUCGAGAAUAUUGGUCAAUGGAGAAAACUCUGAACCAGCGACGCUGCGUGCGGGAAGAAGGCCUUCGGGUUGUAAACCGCUUUUCUCUGUGAACAAGGGAGCAAUCCUUGAGUGUAACGGAGGAAUAAGGGGAUGCCAAUUCUGUGCCAGCAGCAGCGGUAAGACAGAAUCCCCGAGCGUUAUCCGGAUUUAUUGGGCGUAGAGGGUCCGUAGGCGGCUAGAGAAGUCUAAGGUUAAAUACCUCGGGCUCAACCUGAGGAAUGCUUUAGAUACUCUCUAACUAGAGGGCAUUAGAGGCUGGCGGAACGGCCGGUGUAGGGGUGAAAUCCGUUGAUAUCGGCCGGAACACCAAAAGCGAAGGCAGCCAGCUGGGGUGACCCUGACGCUGAGGGACGAAAGCGUGGGGAGAGAACGGGAUUAGAUACCCCGGUAUUCCACGCCCUAAACGAUGGACACUAGUCACUUGUAGUGUCGACCCUACAAGUAGCGAAGCUAACGCGUUAAGUGUCCCGCCUGGGGAGUACGGUCGCAAGGCUAAAACUCAAAGGAAUAGACGGGGGCCCACACAAGCGGUGGAACAUGUGGCUCAAUUCGACAACAAGCGAGGAACCUUACCAGAGCUUGACAUACCAGUGAAAAUCUGAGGAAACUCAGAUAUACCCGUCACAAGGACACUGGUACAGGUGCUGCAUGGUUGUCGUCAGCAGGUACCUUGAGGCGCAAGCUUAGAUGCCAAAACCUGCGCAACCCUUACCCUAUGUUUCAUGUGUCAUAGGGGACUGCCAGGGUCAACCUGGAGGAAGGCGAGGACGACGCCAAAUCAGCAUGGCCCUUAUGCUCUGGGCUGCACACGUGUUACAAUGGUCGGUACAAAGGGUUGCCAAGCUGUAAAGCGGAGCUAAUCCCUAAAAACCGAUCUUAGUCCGGAUCGAGGUCUGCAACUCGACCUUGUGAAGCCGGAAUCGCUAGUAAUCGGAAAUCAGCCACGUUCCGAUGAAUACGUUCCUGGGCCUUGUACUCACCGCCCGUCACGCCAAGCGAGCCGGGAACAGCUGAAGUACCGGAUUUUCCGGGGCCAAGCUGGGUUCGGUGAGAAGGGCGAAGUCGUAACAAGGCACGGGUAGCGGAAGCUGCUCGUGGAUUACUCAAUUU
rfam:Parcubacteria bacterium DG_74_2 WOR1_52_54_806, whole genome shotgun sequence.